UUAAACACGUUGAACAGAAAGAAGUAGGUAAUCGUUGAUUUCAAGAGAGGCGACGGCUGGUGAAAGUCGCUAAUCAAUUUUUACUGAAAUGCCUCUGGGAGUGGUCUUGACGAACAUUGAAUCAGAAGAGUUUUUCGCUUCUUUCAGUAAGGUAGUCAGGGACGUAAACGCGAACGUUAUCCGUCAAAGGUAAUCGUGUUUGAUUAUAAAGAAAAGUGGAACCACGCAAGUAGCGUCUUUUAA
rnacentral:ncRNA from 1 species